CCCCGCCGGUCGGUCCCGCCGGCCCCGCCGCCCACGCGGUCCAAGCGCGGCCCCGCAGCCGUGGGGGAUCCGGGUGGCGGGUCCUGGCUUGCGGGGAGCUUGGCUGUCGCCGAAGGGGCCUCGCCGCCAGCUGUCGAAUCUGGGGUCCUACUCUGUUGGGUCGACAGCGGAAUUGUCCUUCGGCCGACGUUACAGCUCCUGCCUCCCCCACGUACUCUGGAAUUUUGCCGGGAUAUGCCCUUCCCCUCCCACCUCCUCAUCAAGGAAACUCCUACUGAUUCCUUAAGAUUUAACUCUGGCACCAUCUGAAAGCUUUCCCUGAAAUUCAGGAUCUUAUUUAUUUAUUCAUGAGAGACACACAGAGAGAGGCAGAGACACAGGCAGAGGGAG